rnacentral:lncRNA from 1 species
UUUAUAAACCUGGUUUGUGUGUUUAAGAAGAGUUGAGAGGGAGCCUGAAUUAUUAUACCUGUACUAGGAACCUGACUCUGUGCUUCUGUGAUUACAAGGUAAGGACUUGAUCGUGUUAAUACAGCAAACAAUGUUUUACAGGGUUUUUUAUUGUAUAUAGAUUAAUCUUUUUUUUUUUUUUUUUGCUUUAUCAAGUUGCUUUUUUUAUCCUUAAAUAAAGACUGGAAGGCAGGUGACAGUUAAUACGUGCAGCAUUAUCUUCACAAGCAGCAAUACACCCAGUUCUUUAACGAUAAGGAGUUUAUUCAUUAGACAUCGAAUGAAAGUUAAUUAAAAACGAAAUGUAAAAAUUUGGGCAAAAGAAAAAAAUACUGAUUUGGAAAAAUUCUCCAACUCAACUAUAGACACAGCUUGAAUAUUUUUAACUAAAUUUCACAAUUCUGUUUUUAAAUUGCUGCAGUUUAUUGUUUAGUGAAUAGACCUCCAUUAAAAGGUUUUCAUUCAAUAAACCAUUACAAAUAUUGUGUUACAAUAAUUUACAGUUUAGUGAUUAAUCCUAGAUUAACAAAGAAAUUUGGUCUCACUGAUUUCAUAUAAAGGAAUACAUGUAUAUAGAAUGUUAUUUGGAUCAACCAACUGUUUUGUUGCUUUACUAAAAAAAACAAAGUUUUUGCUGUGAUGUUAGGGAAUAAAUUGAAUAUAAAAAGUAAAAAUUCUAAAUCAAUACAAAACAGCUGCCUUAUAUGUUGAGAAUUUUCUGUAGUCUAUUUAAAUAUUUUUUUCAUUCUUGUCUCUAUUCACUAUCCUAUUGUGAGGGAUUACUUCAUGAAACACUGCAUUAUAGUGGAAUGGAAUCUGAAAUGCAAAAAUAUAUACAAAAAUAUUAUAGUUAUAACAGUGUUGGACAAUAUUUCAAAUCACAUAAUCUUGCCUAAAAUAAAUGUUUUUACAUUACUACAAUUCUAUGUUUCAUGAAUAAAGACCACAGACGAGCAAUCUCUAUCAGAAUCGGUUAAUUAUAAUCACCAGUUAUACUUUACAGUUGUACAAUUGUGCAUCGAGAAGUCAAAACAUAUCUGCUUUGUGUGACGUUUUCUAUCUGUACUGCAAAUGUUUUAUUUUCUGUGGACAUUUUCCGAUUAAUGUCACCUAACUAAAUGUUACAUACACAACAAAAAAAAUGUGACAAGUUACUUGUCACUUAUAGGACAUGGAUAUACAAUUAUCAAAAUUACUUUUUAAUAGUGCUAUCUCCAAUUAUUGCCUUUCUGAAAUUACUGCUGAUGCAAAAUAUGACAAUUUUCAUUUGUUCCAUAAUUAAAAUGCAGACACAAAAUCUUUAAUUUUGAUACACGCACAGUCAAUUUACAGAGAAGCAGAUUGGAGCUGCAUUUGCGGAAUUUUCUUCUAUUUAGAGACAAUUUUCACUUGUGUCUCAUUUUGGGAAGAAAGAAGAUGGAAAUAGUGAUUGGACUAAGCAAACCAAAUCUCAAAGCUUUUUGUAAACAUAAAAUAAUUAACAAGUAACACAGUAAAAAGAUAUGGAAAUCGAAUGAAAAGAAGAGGGGUUCAAAUAUUCGAGAGUUCUGUUUAAGCCCAUUUAAUGCCAAAUUCUUUAAAAUAAAUUUUAUAUUUUCUUUGAAAUGGUACAUAAUUAGUACAUAAGUAAAAAUUAAAGCUAUAAUUUCAGACACAGAUUACCAUAUGGGUAUUUCGAAAAAAAAAAAAAAAGAGAGAGAGAGAGUUAAAAUGUUAAUUAAUGUUUGUUUCCUCUUUACAUAAACUUUGAAGUAAUUAAGAGUUUAUUUUGCGCUAUCCUCCUAUAGUGUCACAUUUCAUUCAGGAUAUGAAAUAUUUACAUAGACGUAUUAACAUUGUUAUCACAUUUGACAUAAAUAACAAAAAAAAAACAAGUAAGAUACGUAUUUGUAAGGAUCCUAUAUGUAUCUCCGUGCAUCCUGCUUCCCUUAAAUGUGACUUAAUGUUAAAACAAUUAUUUAUUCGUAUAUAGUUUAUUUAUUUACUUAUAAGGUGUUUACCAGAAACAACAGGCUACUGUUCUGGGUACCUAAACAUGCCCCAAUUAUGGUAAAAUUUAACCACUGGAUUUUGUUCUAUCUUAAGGGAAAUGAGAAGUUCCCUUGAAUCUUCACAGUUACUCAAGCUGGGUCACAUAAUGGAUCACUAGCCUUUGACUAGUCGAUUACUUUUUCUGCAGCCAUUUGUCUGAUCACUGAUUUACACUAGAAGAAUCCAAUAAGGAUACAUUAAACUCAGUUAACAAAGACAUAGUAGUUCAGCUUACUUCUAAUUUCUAGAUAAAAUAGAAAAUUCAUGAGCAUAUGAAAAUAAAACUUAAACAAAAACAUUCAUUUGCACUGUAGUAUUGCCUAUAUUAAGAAUAGAUUGCUGUAUAACAAGAGUCUCAGUUAGAAUUAUACAAUGGGACUAUAAGGCAGGUAUGGUAUGGCAAUUGCAGGAAUUGGCAGUCUUCUGUACCUUCUUCAUUGCCAGGGUCAGUUAUACUUGAGACAAGAGUAUUUAUUUAUUACUGGCAUUUAUAAAGCACCAAAAUAUUCUGCAGCACUACAACUGGGAAAAAGACAAACAGAAAAAGAACAGACCGAUACAACAGGUAGAGAACCCUGCCCGUUAGCUUACAAUCUAAAGGUUAUAAGAGACAAGAGGUAGCACAGGAAUUUGUAUGUGGCAGAGAGAGGUAUAUGGCAGAGAGAGUUAAUAGUAUAACUGCAGAAGCUGAAAGCAUGUAAAAGGAAUUAGGAGGUGAUUGGCUGUGGUUCCAAACAGCUGGAGGUGCAUACUAUAUAGUUAGAAGGAAUUAAAUGGCCUUCUUGUUGCAGGGAUGGAUGUGGUUUUGGGUCUAAGGAAGAUAAAUAAGACUGUUACUUAAAAAGAAUUUACAACUGGGAAUGGUAAGCUGGAAGGGGGAAUUAUCCUUUCAAAGUAUCUUAUCUAUGGUUCUGGAGGAGCUGCUAUACUGUAUGCAUUCGUGAUUUAUACGAGACUGCAUUUGCUUGUUCCUUUUCCUGAAGACAUAAUUUACUGAACAGAUUAAGCCUGAAUGGAUGAGACAGAGGCCCUCUGUGCAUUCCACUAGUGACAUCUCACCUGGAAGCACUGAAAACAUGAACUCACUAGCUUGUAGCAACAUUAAGGAAUAGUCAUAGAGUAUGUGAUUUAGGGACUGGGAUCUAUCACUCAAAACUCUGGUAGACAGUAUUCUUUCUUUUCCCCAAUUCAUGAUGCUCUAACUAGAAAAUGAGAUGUUCACUACUGGUGCUAAAUGUAACUACUCAUGCAAAGGAUUAAAGAUUGUUACCUGAUUCAGAGGAUGGAAAACUACCAAUGUAAACAGAAGCCAGACAAUUAGGAUUUACUACUUUCUAUUUUUGGUGGGUGAAGAGAUUCCCACAUAGAUUUGGUAGCAGCUGUGAAGUUUGACAUUUCUAUAAUAUUUAAGCGCCCUCUUUACACAGAGCACUUUUCCAUGAUACUUAGGAUUCUGAGAUUUGAUAUAGGCAUUCUAUUAGUAGUUAGGUUUAGGGUUCGGUGUAGGCUUUUGGGUUAUGGGUUUGGGGUUAUUGUUAGGCAUUGGAGUUAGAAAGUGUGAUUGAAUUGAGGCAAAGAUUUGGGUUUGAAAUUGAAAUUAGGAAUUUGAGUUAAACAAUAGUGUUAGAGACUGGAGUAACCAUUGGUUGCAUGGCAAUUGGGAUUAGAUUUAGAGGGACACUACAAGCAUCUCACCAUGCAAAUUAAAUCUGGAACUAAAAUAACUUGCUUCAUAUGCAUGUUAUAAAUACUCCUUUACUGGAACAUCAACAGGCCAGGAUUUACACAUCUCCCACAUCUGUUCCAGUGCAUAUACCUACCAAAAAUGGACUGCUGGUAUGCAUCUUGAGGGCCAUUAUCUUUGUCAUCAUUUAUGCUUCAAAAUAUUUCAUUUGUAGGGCCCAGACCAGGGUCACAACAUCUGAAGAAAACAGAACUACAUUGUGAAAAUAACCUUAUGUAAUAGAAUUCAUAAAACAACAACAUUAUGUUACAUAAGGCCUGUUUCUGGCUGUUCCAUUAAUGCCACUGGCAUACCAGUAAGGAUUGUUGUGGUGGUUGCACAUGUGAGCCAGCCAUGAAAUAGUGACUGUGGUGUCUGAUGUUUUAAUUGCGCUGUUUUCUUCUUUUUAUUUAGCUUAUUUGAGUGUUUAUAGGCUAAGGUUGAGAAUAAAAAAUAAUACAUCAUAUAUGUAUUAUAAAACAAACUAGUAUCCUAGAAUGGAAUACGAAAGCCGUUACUUAAGGUUUUAUUGAAAUGUUUUUUUCUCUGCUUAGCAAAGUUCCAUUGUAACAGAUUAACAAAUGUAAUAAUUAUUUCAUCAUAGAUGCCAAAUGGGGAAUCACUAUUAGGUUGCCAAGGUUAAAUUUAGAACAUCUAAUGGAAUAUAAAAUAUUAUAUCUCUGCUUGAAAUGUAAGACAACAUCUAUAUAUAUAUAUAUAUAUAUAUAUACAUAUAUAUAUAUGUUUUUUCUUUUCUAGUCUACAUUAAUUUUAAAGUGACCAAUUGAAAAAACGUAAUAUAAAUAUUUGCAUUUGAUAAUGGAAUUUUGUUUCUGUAGUAGGUUGUUAAAUCCUCAACAUUCUCAUCCCCCCCCCAGAUGGAUCCUUUACUACAAAACACAAUGAUCAUACUGGCCUUCAUCUUUCCGGUCCAUGUGGCUGCCUAUAGCAAUGGCAGAAUUCAGCCUGCAUGUGUUGACAUGCAUCCUCAGCAUAACGCUAGUGCUCAGACUACCUCUCCUCCAUUCAGUCUGACCCUGUCGAAAUAUAACUACACAUCAGGAGAAAAAAUCACAGGUAAACACGCAGCAUGUAUCAUAAGAAUAAGGCAAGUCUAAGCUCAUUGCAAAGCUAAUUAUGGAAUAACCUCCCGGACACAAUUAAAUCUUCUUCAACUCUAAAAUCCUUUAAAGGGCCAUGUCAACAUAUCUCAGUACAGAAUGCACCUGUAACCGUGGUAGAUUAUAUUUCUUACUUGUUCUGUGUUAAAUGUAUUUAAGAGUAUUUUAAUAUUACUUUGUAUUUUUAAUAUUAUGUUGUGUAUUUUAAUAUUACUUUGUAUGUUUAAUGUACCCUAUUGUAACAAAGCGAUGUUUGUGGGCCCAGGACGUACUUGAAAAGGGGAGAAGUCUAAAAGUAUCCUUCCUGCUCAAAUAUUUUAGAAAUAAAUAUUAUGUUAUACUACAAAAAAUAGACACAUAAACAAUAUACGUAUCAGUUAUACAGAUACAGCUUCCCACAGAUCACCUCCCAGAUAGUGGUCCUAACAAGCCAUAGACAUCUAUAUAAUAUACAUGGGAUUCAGCUGAUAUACCUAAAAAUUAUAUCAUAGUGUUUAUAAGAAUUUUAUAAAGAUUGUAUCUUUACGAAAGCUCUAAAAUACAUUUUGGUGACAGAACUGGUUUAAGUUGCGCUUAACAUUUUAGGGUCGUUUCGUCUAUCCCAAUCAGCUUAUCAUCAGUUAAUUGUCACCAUAUUCAUCAAAGGAACGCUCUAAUCUGUAAUCUUUUUUUAAAACUCAUUAACUUGCUUAUGGGUGCCUAAAGUAACCUUUCCAAUCCAGUCAGUGUUAAGCCAUUUAAACAGCUUAAACUAAAUAAGAUAUCCUGUUCACCCACAGUCCAGCCUUUACUGGAGGUUUGGCUAAGGCAGAGAUUACACACUUCCUUCUACCCAUACUAGAAAUGGGCAGCGUGGUAGGAUGAAAACAGUGAGCUUACAUUCUCAGCUACCCAUAUCUGCUAUGGCUAAUGCUUCCUCAUUAGCACUAGCAGCUUUGAGGGUAUGAGCUGCUGGGUAAUCUCGUUUAAGAGAAGAAGAGAUCUGGAAAUCAGUAUGAGAUCAAUCCUAGAGUAGGAAUAUUCCCUAUUGGAAGGAUGUUGUGUUCACCAGGUGUCAUAUAGCCCAUGCUCCAUGAGUAGUUUUGUGAGUGCUUUGCAGUUAGCUUUGAGAGUGGCAUGUCUUUGUGAGUCGACAGGUAUGGUAGUGUCUAUUCGUGAGUUCAAAAUGUGGAUGAGGUGCUUGCAAAUUAUCAGUGUUUAUUGGUAGCUUCGCUAGUACUUUGUGCAAGAGGUUUCCCUGUUGGUCAUUUUGGCUGUAUAGUCCUACUGUGGUGUAUUGUAGGUUUUUGAUGGCACAUUGGAGUAUCACGUAUCUAUCUACCAUGACUAUCUUUUUUGAUAGUGAGAAGUUCCACUGACAGUGAGCUGUUUAGGAGGAUGGAGACCCCUCUUUAUUUGGAAUAAUGGGUUGUGUGGUAUUGCGUGGGGUAGUCCUUUGGGCCAAAUUUAGGAACUCUAUUUGUGACGAAGUGUGUCUCUUAAAAACAUACAAUAUCUGCUUUGUUUCGCUUAAUAUCUUCCGUUAGCAUACGCCUUUUAUGAGGUGUACUAAGACCUCUUGUGUUGUGGGAAUAUAUCUGCAUGGUCUGAGUGGGAAAACUGUCUUAUAUGAUGUGGUUGUUGGCAAUUGGGGUGUCUGUAAGAAGGGGGAGGUACCAAGGGGAGGUUUGUAGCAUGGAAUUAGAAAGGGAUAUGUACAAUUAGACCACUAAGGUCAUAGUGCGAGAUGUUCGGAGUGAGAGUCUCCUGUGGAGUGGCUAUUGGGUUCCAAUGAGACUAGCCUGGUGGUUGCAGAACCUUUUUGUAUGAGAACAUUGCAUAGAAAUAAACAUAAACAUGUUAAACUGUAAACAUUUUCCUUUUUUUAAGUGCCAUGCUACAUUUUCCGGCUGUUCAGUGAUUACUUUUAUGCUACCCCAGUAAAUUUGCACUAAAUGUUUGCCAGUGGGAGGAUGUGCUUUGCUUAGUGUAGGUCCAAGGUGGUAGAAUGUUUUGGAGUAUUGCCUAAGUGGCAGAGGGUGCACAAUGGUCGUUUCAUGUGCUCGCUGGAAAUGAUGCGCUCGAGUUGCAAAUAGCCAUUUUCCCUUCUCCACAUUAUUUAAGCGCCUUUUAACCCUGUGUGCUGUUCAUAUGAUUGCGGGUAGGGAUUUAUGUUGACCGUGCAUUUGUUCCCAAGUGUGCCUGGGGGUCUAGUUGUGUUGCUGGCCCCCUUUAUGUCAGUCCUCCUCUCUGUCACCCAUGUACCCACGAGACAGUUCUGUGGGUCUUGCUCAAUAUGGGGGGGUGGGAGUGCUGACCCAGGUGGGCCCUAUGUAGACUGUGAGUCAGCUUGUGUGCUCGGUGGGUUUGCUCCCCUCUAUGCCCUAGCUAAGGGUAACCUCUGGCUGUAGGCACCGGGGUUGUACGCUAUUUGCNNNNNNNNNNNNNNNNNNNNNNNNNNNNNNNNNNNNNNNNNNNNNNNNNNNNNNNNNNNNNNNNNNNNNNNNNNNNNNNNNNNNNNNNNNNNNNNNNNNNAGCUUGUAUGGAGUAACUUUCUGUGUGGUCUACCGGGCAUAUAAUUAGCAUGUUUAAUAUAGGAAAAUAAUAUAAACAUUUUAAAACAGUUUAAAACAACGAUUAGAUGGUAGUUAAGUAUGACAUUCAUAAUGCAUUCUUAUGUUUGGAUUGUACUUGCGGGAUGGGAUGUCAGCUCUGUGGUUUGUCAGUUCAUAUAUCAACUCUGUGCCAUGAAGGCCUCUGCAUGGCGAGGAUGGUGACCCCAGGGAUCAUUUGGCGUACAGGCCCCAUUCUUUUAGCAGCGCUAGUCCUUCUUCAGGGGUAUUAAUGUCGCUUUGCCGUCUUUUGUGAGCAGUAGUUUCGUAAGGAAUCCCCAUCUGUAAUGAAUUCCUUGGUUUCUCAUCUCUUUGGUGACUUAAUGGAACGCAUUUCUGCAUCGCAAGGUUGCUGGUGAUAAGUCUGCGAGUAUUCUUUAUGCGGGUCCAUUCUAUUCUGACAGGCUAUUAGGAUAAUUUCCUUGAUGUGGAAGUAGUGCGCUUGGAGAAGCACGUUGAAUGCCGUUGAGGUAAAUAUUAAGGUUUAGGGACCCUAUGGACUCUAUCCAUGAGUAGCAUGUCCACUGGAACACCCGGGGCAUACAUGUGCAUUAGCUCUCGAACGUAAACCUGGGAGCACAGUCUCCAGGACUCCCCGCAAGCGGAGGUUGUUUCUUCGUGCUCUGUCCUCUGAGUCUGCCAUUCUCGUGUCCAGAAGCUCUAUUUUGUGCUCAAAAGCCUGUACAUGUCAUUGUACGCGGUGGCAAAUUCUUUACACUUUUUUUCUAUGUGGGCUGUCUUUGUGCUGAGAUCUCGGAUCUCUUUGUGCAGUUGGUUGGCUGUGGUUAGCCAUGAUUAUAUGAGUUUCGCCGACAUUGCUUCCAGGGCUUGUAGGUUUUUUUUUGUUAGUCCAUCUGGAAGCCAUCUAUAAUUGGCAUGUGGGAGCUGGUGUCAGAGUCAUCAGCUCCAAUAUUGUUGAAUGGGUAAGGCAGUGGCUGAGUGACAGGCAACAGAUGGUUGUAGUCAAUAGAAUAUAUUCAAAGCUUGGACUUGUCACCAGUGGGGUACCUCAGGGAUCUGUACUUGGACCCAUUCUCUUUAAUAUUUUUAUUAGUGAUAUUGCAGAAGGUCUUGAUGGUAAGGUAUGUCUUUUGCUGAUGAUACUAAGAUAUGUAACAGGGUUGAUGUUCCAGUAGGGAUAAGCCAAAUGGCAAAUGAUUUAGGUAAACUAGAAAAAUGGUCAGAAUUGGGCAACUGACAUUUAAUGUGGAUAAGUGCAAGAUAAUGCAUAUUGGACGUAAAAACCCAAGGGCAGGGUACAGAAUAUUUGAUCGAGUCCUAACCUCAACAUCUGAGGAAAGGGAUUUAGGGGUGAUUAUUUCUGAUGACUUAAAGGUAGGCAGACAAUGUAUUAGAGCAGCAGGAAAUGCUAGCAGAAUGCUUGGUUGUAUAGGGAGAGGUAUUAGCAGUAGAAAGAGGGAAGUGCUCAUACCAUUCUACAGAACACUGGUGAGACCUCACUUGGAGUAUUGUACACAGUACUGGAGACUGGAUCUUCAGAAGGAUAUUGAUACCUUAGAGAGAGUUCAGAGAAGGGCUACUAAACUGGUUCAUGGAUUGUGGGAUAAAAUUUACCAGGAAAGGUUAAGGGAUCUUAACAUGUAUAGCUUGGAGGAAAGACGAGACAGGGGAAUACGAUAGAAACAUUUAAAUAUAUAAAGGGAAUCAACACAGUAAAGGAGUAGACUAUAUUUAAAAGAAGAAAAACUACCACAACAAGAGGACAUAGUCUUAAAUUAGAGGGACAAAGGUUUAAAAUAAUAUCAGGAAGUAUUACUUUACUGAGAGGGUAGUGGAUGCAUGGAAUAGCCUUCCAGCUGAAGUGGUAGAGGUUAACACAGUAAAGGAGUUUAAGCAUGCGUGGGAUAGGCAUAAGGCUAUCCUAACUAUAAGAUAAGGCCAGGGACUAAUGAAAGUAUUUAGAAAAUUGGGCAGACUAGAUGGGCCGAAUGGUUCUUAUCUGCCGUCACAUUCUAUGUUUCUAUGUCUGCUUUCUCAGGGAGCCUGACAAAAUCACUACAGCUAUAAGCCUGUCCCUCUUAUACACAGAAUUCAAAAGGGAAAAAAUGUUACUUCCUCCUUUGCAGUCUAUGAUCUGUCCAACUCUUUCUUGUGACACAAAUGCUAAUGUGCAGUCAGUGUCUUGGCAGGUUGUUGUCAACAGCCCAGCUCACAAAGAUGCUAACUAAGCUGGGUUUAAGCUGAUAGCAACAAAGGUAUGGCUUAUACCACCUAAUUAACCAUAUCCAUUCAUUCUGUUUAAUGAGCGGAACCGUGGCCGUAGGAUAAGGUACUUAUCCCAUAUAUUCAUGAUGAGCAUAGGUUUAUGGGAUAAGAUUAAACACACAGUCCAGUUGGAAAAUCUUCUUAAUCUGGUCUGUCACUAUCACAACUUGCCUGUGCAAGUUUUAUUUUUUCAAAAAAAUUUUUUACACUUCUUUAUUUUAACCAUUAAUACAUAAAAAACAAACAAAAAAAAAAACUCAAGGAACUACAGGUAGAGUUGAGCGAACCUGUACUGUAAAGUUCGGGUUUGGACCCGAACACGGACAUAUCACUGUAAGUUCGGGUUGGAGUUCGGUGUUCGCGUUCGUGUAGCGCCGCACGCACAUGAGCUCUUAUUAGUGUAGGGAGAGGAUGCUGCAGCUGUUUGGGACAGAUUAGGAAAGAAUUCUUCAAACUAGUACAUUAGCGGGGAGCACUUCAUAUCUGAGAGUCAAAUAGAAGAGUCAAAUACCGCGGUUACAUCUGAGUUGGAAAAAGUCAUUUUUUUGGUGUUAAAUAGUACAUUAGUGGGGUGCACUUCAUAUCUGAGAGUCAAAUAGAAGCGUCAAAUACUGCUGUCACAUUGCAGUUUUAAAACUUAAAAAACUUUGGGUGCUAAAAAGUACAUUAGUGGGGUGCUCUUCAUAUCUGAGAGUCAAAUAGUGCGCUUACAGCGCAGUUGUAAAAAUUCUAAUUGUUUUGCUGCUAAUUUGCUAAAUAGUACAUUUUGGUGUGCUCUUCAAAUCUGAGAGUCAAAUAGAACCGUCAAAUAGUGCUGUGACAGCAUUUUCAAACAUUCACAUUUUUGUCUGCUAAAUAGUACAUUAGUGGGGUGCACUUCAUAUCUGAGAGUCAAAUAGAAGCGUCAAAUACUGCGCUUACAUUGCAGUUGUAAAAAUUCAAAUUCUUUAGGUGCUAAAAAGUCAAUUUGAUGCCUGCACUUCAUAUCUGAGGGUCAAAUUGAAGCGUCAAAUACUGCGCUUACAGCGCAGAUUGAAACAUUCUUAUUUUCUGGGUGCUAAUCUGCUAAAUAGUAAAUUUGGGGCAUGCUCUUCAUAUCUGAAAGUCAAAUAGAAGCGUCAAAUAGUGCGGUUACAGUGCAAUUGUAAACAUUCUUUUUUUUUGAGUGCUAAUCUGCUAAAUAGCAAAUUUGGGGCGUGCUCUUCAUAUCUGAGAGUCAAAUAGAAGCGUCAAAAACUGCGCUUACAGCGCAGUUUGAAACAUUCUAAUUGUUUUGCUGCUAAACUGCUAAAUAGUACAUUUUGGGCGUGCUCUUCAUAUCUGAGAGUCAAAUAGAAGCGUCAAAGAGUGCGGUUACAGCGCAGUUGUAAAAAUUCUUGUUUUCUGGGUGCUAAUCUGCUCAAUAAUAAAUUUUGGGCAUGCUCUUCAUAUCUGAGAGUCAAAUAGAAGCGUAAAAAAAAUACUGCGCUUACAGCACAGUUUGAAACAUUCUAAUUGUUUUGCUGCUAAACUGCUAAAUAGUACAUUUUGGGCAUGCUCUUCAUAUCUGAGAGUCAAACAGAGGCAUCAAAUACUGCGCUUACAGCACAGUUGUAAAGGUUCUUAUUUUCUGAGUGCUAAUCUGCUUAAUAAUACAUUUUGGGCAUGCUCUUCAUAUCUGAGAGUCAAAUAGAAGCGUCAAAUAGUGCGGUUACAGAGCAAUUGUAAACAUUCUUAUUUUCUGGUUGCUAAUCUGCUAAAUAGUACAUUAGUGGGGUGCACUUCAUAUCUGAGAGUCAAAUAGAAGCGUCAAACAGUGCGGUUACAGCGCAGUUGUAAAAAUUCUAAUUGUUUUGCUGCUAAACUGCUAAAUAGUACAUUUUGGGCAUGCACAUCAUAUCUGAGAGUCAAAUAGAAGCGUCAAAGAGUGCGCUUACAGCGCAGAUUGAAACAUUCUUAUUUUCUGGGUGCUAAUCUGCUAAAUAAUACAUUUUGGGGCGUGCUCUUCAUAUCUGAGAGUCAAAUAGACACGUCAAAUACUGCGCUUACAGCGCAGUUUGAAAUAUUCUAAUUGUUUUGCUGCUAAACUGUUAAAUAGUAAAUUUUGGGCAUGCUCUUCAUAUCUGAGUGUCAAAUAGAUGUAAAAAUGCUUAUUUUCUGGGUGCUAAUCUGCUUAAUAGUACAUUUUGAGUGUGCUCUUCAUAUCUGAGAGUCAAAUAGAAGCAUCAAAUAGUGCAUUACAGCGCAAUUGUAAACAUUCUUAUUUUCUGGUUGCUCAUGUGCUAAAUAGUACAUUAGUGGGGUGCACUUCAUAUCUGAGAGUCAAAUAGAAGCGUCAAACAGUGCGGUUAGAGCGCAGUUGUAAACAUUCUAAUUGUUUUGCUCCUAAACUGCUAAAUAGUACAUUGUGGGCAUGCCCUUCAUAUCUGAGAGUCAAAUAGAAGCGUCAAAUACUGUGUUUACAGCGCACUUUGACAAAUUCCAAUUUUUUCGAUCCUAAGAAGUAAAUUUGGGGUGUGCACUUUAUAUCUGACAGUCAAAUAGAACCGUCAAAUACUGUGGGUACAGCGCAGUUUAACCAAUUCAUAUUUUUUGGGCUGCUAAAUAGUACAUUUGCGGCCUGCACUUCAUAUCUGACAGUCAAAUAGAACCAUCAAAUACCAAUAUAACAAUAUUCUAAUUCGGGGGCAAUACCCUCACAAGUCAAACUGAGAGAUACAAUUCUAAAACAAUUUCCAUAUGUCCUUUGCAGACUUUACAUGCUGGAAAAACACAGGUGCCAACUGAUGUGGCUUUCUGCAGUGUGCAUACCGGCAAGGA